rnacentral:rRNA from 1 species
AACGAACGCUGGCGGCAGGCUUAACACAUGCAAGUCGAACGCACCGCAAGGUGAGUGGCAGACGGGUGAGUAACACGUGGGAACGUACCCCUUUGUUCGGAAUAACCCUGGGAAACUAAGGGCUAAUACCGGAUACGGCCGGAAGGCGAAAGGUUUACCGCAGAGGGAUCGGCCCGCGUCCGAUUAGCUUGUUGGUGAGGUAAUGGCUCACCAAGGCAUCGAUCGGUAGCUGGUCUGAGAGGAUGGCCAGCCACAUUGGGACUGAGACACGGCCCAAACUCCUACGGGAGGCAGCAGUGGGGAAUAUUGGACAAUGGGCGCAAGCCUGAUCCAGCCAUGCCGCGUGAGUGAUGACGGCCUUAGGGUUGUAAAGCUCUUUUACCUGGGAAGAUAAU